AGCUCAAAUUUGAAAUCUGGCCCCUCAAGGUCCGAGUUGUAAUUUGUAGAGGAUGCUUUUGGUGAGGUGCCGCCCGAGUUCCCUGGAACGGGACGCCGCAGAGGGUGAGAGCCCCGUCUGGCUGGCCGCCGAACCUAUGUAAAGCUCCUUCGACGAGUCGAGUAGUUUGGGAAUGCUGCUCAAAAUGGGAGGUAUAUGUCUUCUAAAGCUAAAUAUUGGCCAGAGACCGAUAGCGCACAAGUAGAGUGAUCGAAAGAUGAAAAGCACCUUGAAAAGAGGGUUAAAUAGUACGUGAAAUUGUUGAAAGGGAAGCGCUUGUGACCAGACUUGGGCGCGGCGGAUCAUCCGGGGUUCUCCCCGGUGCACUUCGCCGUGUCCAGGCCAGCAUCAGUUCGUCGCGGGGGAAAAAGGCUUCGGGAACGUGGCUCCUCCGGGAGUGUUAUAGCCCGUUGCAUAAUACCCUGCGGUGGACUGAGGACCGCGCUUCGGCAAGGAUGCUGGCGUAAUGGUCACCAGCGACCCGUCUUGAAACACGGACCAAGGAGUCGUCUUCGUAUGCVAGUGUUCGGGUGU
rnacentral:rRNA from 1 species